GGCUGCACUAAUUGCUGAGGAGGAAGUACUCAGCCUGUGCACUGAUUUCUCUAAAGCUUUGCAGGUUUGAGCUCACUUCUGCAUUUGGUAAUCUUCUAAUACCAGUCCUAUUUGCUUGGUAACAUGGAAGACUUUGAAGAACUGAAGCCAAUUCAUCUUGUGUCAAGAUGGCUGGAAACUCCCAGCAAAUCGAGGGUGAUGGGAAGAUUGAGGUUAUUCUCAGCUUUGGUCAAGGAUAGUACCAGGCCACCGUGCUAGAUAAAACUUCUUUAAGGCACCUGAGAGAGAGAGGGAAAGAACACCUCCAGAGAGCAGCCUGCUGAUAGAACGUACUUCUAACAAUAUGUGAGAGAGCAGCAAGUUAUCAGACAUAGGGACAGAAGGGGAAGAUGAAGAUAGCCUUCUUGUUCCAUAAGAAGUGGGAGGUGAUGCGGGAAAGAAGACAGAAAAGCUGAUUCGGGAAGAUAACACAGCAGUUUACAACAUGGAGGACAAGAAAUCCUUGAAGGCUUUGUAAUUGUUUUAGUAUAUAUUUUUCAAUCAAAGUUCCUGCACUUCUGAAAACGUCUGGACUGUUUUGAAAGACAUACUGUGAAAUAAAAAGUUGGCUGAGUUGGCUGGAUCUAACCUGGACUGCGAUCCUAUUCACUAGGAAGCCAAAUUAUUGUGCUUGCCUGUCCAUGGAAGCAGUGGUAGAUCUUUUGGCCCAUGAGUUCUUCAUAUUCCUCCAGAUUAAAAGCAUGAAAGAGCGCAGAGAAACACAGGAAAGCUUGUCUCUGCAGUCAGGCGACGAUGAGGACAUGAAGAUGUAUAACUGUCCCAGGUGUGAGAACAGCACAGUUUACCCCCUCAGGACUUGUAACAGGCUUGCCUGAAGGAGAGUGAAAUAGGGUAAGAUUUGAGAAAGAACUCUGGCAUUUCUUUAUUGUGCAUGGUAGUUUAAUUUGUUAAGUGUUGCUAAGUUGUGCAAUAGUGCUACUGUAAUAUUCGUUACUUGUCUACUGCUGAGCUAAUCAUUUAAGAACCACCCACCCCUCUGCCUCCAUUUAUUCUACGUACUGAAUGUGGAGGGGCAUACUUUCCAUGAAUAUAUAUAGAUACUGAA